rnacentral:rRNA from 1 species
UACGUAGGGGGCAAGCGUUGUCCGGAAUCAUUGGGCGUAAAGCGCGUGUAGGCGGCCAGAAAAGUCCGCUGUGAAAACUCGAGGCUCAACCUCGAGCUGUCGGUGGAAACUUUCUGGCUAGAGUCCGGAAGGGGAGAAUGGAAUUCCUGGUGUAGCGGUGAAAUGCGCAGAUAUCAGGAAGAACACCCGUGGCGAAGGCGGUUCUCUGGGACGGUACUGACGCUGAGACGCGAAAGCGUGGGAGCGAACAGG